AACGAACGAUGGCGGAAGGGAGAACAAAGGCAAGUCGAACGAAGCCUUCGGGCUUAGUGGCGCACGGGUGCGUAACGCGUGGGAAUCUGCCCUUGGGUUCGGAAUAACAGUUAGAAAUGACUGCUAAUACCGGAUGAUGUCUUCGGACCAAAGAUUUAUCGCCCAAGGAUGAGCCCGCGUCGGAUUAGCUAGUUGGUGAGGUAAAGGCUCACCAAGGCGACGAUCCGUAGCUGGUCUGAGAGGAUGAUCAGCCACACUGGGACUGAGACACGGCCCAGACUCCUACGGGAGGCAGCAGUGGGGAAUAUUGGACAAUGGGCGAAAGCCUGAUCCAGCAAUGCCGCGUGAGUGAUGCAGGCCUUAGGGUUGUAAAGCUCUUUUACCCGGGAUGAUAAUGACAGUACCGGGAGAAUAAGCCCCGGCUACCUCCGUG
rnacentral:rRNA from 1 species